rnacentral:rRNA from 1 species
AGUGAACGCUGGCGGUAGGCCUAACACAUGCAAGUCGAACGGCAGCACAGUAAGAGCUUGCUCUUACGGGUGGCGAGUGGCGGACGGGUGAGGAAUACAUCGGAAUCUACUUUUUCGUGGGGGAUAACGUAGGGAAACUUACGCUAAUGCCGCAUACGACCUACGGGUGAAAGCAGGGGAUCUUCGGACCUUGCGCGAUUGAAUGAGCCGAUGUCGGAUUAGCUAGUUGGCGGGGUAAAGGCCCACCAAGGCGACGAUCCGUAGCUGGUCUGAGAGGAUGAUCAGCCACACUGGAACUGAGACACGGUCCAGACUCCUACGGGAGGCAGCAGUGGGGAAUAUUGGACAAUGGGCGCAAGCCUGAUCCAGCCAUACCGCGUGGGCGAAGAAGGCCUUCGGGUUGUAAAGCCCUUUUGUUGGGAAAGAAAAGCAGCAGGUUAAUACCCCGCUGCUCUGACGGUACCCAAAGAAUAAGCACCGGCUAACUUCGUG